rnacentral:rRNA from 1 species
UACGUAGGGUGCGAGCGUUAAUCGGAAUUACUGGGCGUAAAGGGUGCGUAGGCGGUUAGAUAAGUCUGAUGUGAAAUCCCCGGGCUCAACCUGGGAACGGCAUUGGAUACUGUUGAACUAGAGUGCGUCAGAGGGGGGUAGAAUUCCACGUGUAGCAGUGAAAUGCGUAGAGAUGUGGAGGAAUACCGAUGGCGAAGGCAGCCCCCUGGGAUGACACUGACGCUGAAGCACGAAAGCGUGGGGAGCAAACAGG